UACGGAGGGUGCGAGCGUUGUCCGGAAUCAUUGGGCGUAAAGGGCGCGUAGGUGGCCCGGUCAGUUCGUGGUGAAAGCGCGGGCUCAACCCUGCGUCGGCCAUGAAUACUGCCGCGGCUGGAGCACUGUAGAGGCAGGCGGAAUUCCGGGUGUAGCGGUGGAAUGCGUAGAGAUCCGGAAGAACACCGGUGGCGAAGGCGGCCUGACUGGGCAGUU
rnacentral:rRNA from 1 species